GAUGAACGCUGGCGGCGUGCCUAAUACAUGCAAGUCGAGCGAACGGACGAGAAGCUUGCUUCUCUGAUGUUAGCGGCGGACGGGUGAGUAACACGUGGAUAACCUACCUAUAAGACUGGGAUAACUUCGGGAAACCGGAGCUAAUACCGGAUAAUAUUUUGAACCGCAUGGUUCAAAAGUGAAAGACGGUCUUGCUGUCACUUAUAGAUGGAUCCGCGCUGCAUUAGCUAGUUGGUAAGGUAACGGCUUACCAAGGCAACGAUGCAUAGCCGACCUUAGAGGGGGACCGGCCACAGUGAGCCGGAAAACCGGCCCAGCGCCUGAGGGGGGGCCGAGGAUGGGAAUUUUGCCAAAGGGGGGAAAGCUUGACGGAGGAGCGCAGGGGGGUUGAUGAAGGUCUGCGGUUUGUAAAACUGUUUUAUGGGGGAAAAACAUAUUUGCAAGUAACUGGGCAUGUCUGGGGGUAACCUAAAAAGAAGCCCCGGCUAAACUCGGG
rnacentral:rRNA from 1 species